AUAUCAUCGAUAAUGUUGGAGUAUUUUCUGGACUCCCCAACUAGAAAUUUUCAGUUGUCGCGAAAUUGCUUUACUGGGCAAUCCGCUAUCGCUGAGAUGAACAAUUUCCUGUUGAAUAAUAUCAGAUGAUGAUGAUGACGACGAUGACGAUGACGACGAUGACGAUGACGACGAUGACGAUGCUGUUCAUGCUGAGGACGUGAUUGGCUGUACACCUUCCGGAUUAAACGCAGAAGAGAACUACUGAUGGCCCAUCCAGCAGAGAAAUCAGGAAAUG
rnacentral:misc_RNA from 1 species